GCCAAGAAGAGAGCCAUCACCAGGAACCAAAUCAGCUGGCCUCCUUUUUUUUAAAAUUGAGGAUUCCACCUGAGCAUGCAAAUUUCUGACAGAGCAGGGAUUGUCGUGGAGAUCAGGAGAUCUGGGAUCCAGCUGAAAUGGAAAACUAAGUAGGUAAGUCAAAAUUGCUGUGAAAAUUUUCUUCAAACUUUUUGAAAAGAAAUUAUCCAGAAAGAAAAAUCUCUGAAGCUACACAAUGAAAACUUCAAGGAUAGAGGAAAACUCUCAUUGCCUGCAUCUACAGAACACAGGCAAAAUAAACUACCCCCUACACACACACACUGUACAGUUUAUGUU